CUCACCAUUUCCUGCAGCAGCACGUUGCCAUCUUUGGUCAGCUUGAUGUCUCCAGCCCCCGACACCAGCCUGCGGGCGACAGGAGGCGGUGAAGGAAAACAGUGUCCCUGCCUCUCCCCCGAUUUCACGCCAAGGCAAACUCCUGACAGCAGCUUGUCGCAGCCCCUCCUCGGCUCUCGUCCCUGGCGCUCGGUGUGGAGCGAGAUCAGCUCGUGCCGUUGUAUUUAUGUGACUGAAGGUCUCAGCUGAUCCCUACUUUUCUUGUACAGCCAAGAGGUUUGCAGCAGCAGCAACAGCCACGGCCAGUACAAUACU